UACGUAGGGGGCAAGCGUUGUCCGGAAUCAUUGGGCGUAAAGAGCGUGUAGGCGGCCAGAUAAGUCCGCUGUGAAAUCUCGAGGCUCAACUUCGAGCUGUCGGUGGAAACUGUCUGGCUAGAGUCCGGAAGAGGAGAAUGGAAUUCCUGGUGUAGCGGUGAAAUGCGCAGAUAUCAGGAAGAACACCGGUGGCGAAGGCGGUCUGCUGGGGUCGAACUGACGCUGAGGCGCGAAAGCGUGGGGAGCGAACAGG
rnacentral:rRNA from 1 species